AGGACGAACGCUGGCGGCGUGCUUAACACAUGCAAGUCGAACGGAAAGGCCCGCUUGCGGGUACUCGAGUGGCGAACGGGUGAGUAACACGUGGGCAACCUGCCCUCAGCUUCGGGAUAACACUUGGAAACAGGUGCUAAUACCGGAUAAUAACUUUUCAUCGCAUGGUGGAUGGUUCAAAGUUUUUCGGCUGAGGAUGGGCCCGCGGCCUAUCAGCUUGUUGGUGGGGUAAUGGCCUACCAAGGCGACGACGGGUAGCCGGCCUGAGAGGGCGACCGGCCACACUGGGACUGAGACACGGCCCAGACUCCUACGGGAGGCAGCAGUGGGGAAUAUUGGACAAUGGGCGCAAGCCUGAUCCAGCAAUGCCGCGUGUGUGAAGAAGGCCUUCGGGUUGUAAAGCACUUUUAUCAGGAACGAAUACCAUUGGUUAAUAACCGGUGGGCUGACGGUACCUGAGGAAUAAGCACCGGCUAACUUCGUGCCAGCAGCCGCGGU
rnacentral:rRNA from 1 species